CGUCAAUACUGACACGAUGCAACUGACUGAUUUCAUGUCACGGGAUGUACGAGUACAUUACCAUUACGACGUAAUUGUGAAGUGAAAACGACAUUACCAGAUUGUAUACAAGUACCAAUUACUUAUUUACACAUCAGGUUAUUGUUGGUUUAAAAAUCUUUCUCCCAGCCAGAGGUCUCAUCAGCAGAUGAAUUUACUACGACAUCCCAUCAUGACACUCUUUUCACUGAAGAUAUGUUCCUGUUGGUGUGUGUCUACGAUAUGCUGCUUCUUAAGACACUUGAGAGCGAAUGUUAGGGAUUGGUCCCUGGAGUACUGCACGAGUUCCACACGUCCGAAACCACCUAUACCCAAAGUAGCAACCACAUCUAAAUCGUCCAAUUGAAUAUAAUCAUAUUCAGCUAGUUCCUGCAUAUUGGAACUGCUAAUUGGACGCGCUAGUUUACGAUGUGUGUCACCGUAAUCUUUUUCUUUGAUUUCGCUUAGGUCCCCGAUGAGUUGAAUGAAAGAAUCGCGGUCUAGGGUUAAACAUUCUACACCUGGAUGAAGAGCUAUCACGGAAGCAGUGCGGUAGUCUUCUUUCAACAAAGCUUGCUCUCCGAAAUAAUCACCACGUUGUAAGAUUUUGCAGUAGAGGAACCGAUCGCAAAAAGUUGAUGUUAUCUUCUAAUCUCUGCAAUCCUGUUCGUACCAUGAUUUGUUGGAAGACUUUACGGUCAAGUACCCAAACAUUCGAAUCACUUACAACUAAAAUUUAAUUACUUUAUAUUAUACCCAUUUGUAGAGUAUGGCAAGUUCCCCGAAUGCUUUCCCGGUACCCAUGCGCCCCAAGACGUUACCAUCUUUGAUGACCUCAUAUUCACCCUCUGCGGAGACAAACAGAUGUGCGCCAUUAUCUCCUUCGCGGAUAACAUACGUUCCUUUCUGGUACCCGCGCGGGUACAUGGAGUCGACGAUUUCGCGAAUUUGGCACGAGUCUAAAUUUUUGAGGAAGUCAUUGUCUAGGAUGGCGUCCUUAAUAAGCUGCUUCGAUCUGUACCACAAUGAAUUACUGGAUGUGAAGUGAUUUGUAAACGCCGUCGGCGGCUGGAAAUAUCUACCUGAAAUCUUUUUCAAAUUUUGGUAUGGUAAUAUCGCCGGGAGCUCCUGAUGACUCGCUGGACUCGGCGGAUACACCUUGUUUCUUCGCUGAAGAUGUUCCAUGAGGUGAUAACGACGAGGAGACUUGAUGGAGAGUCGAAAGUAUAUCGGCUUCUUUAUUGAGCUUUGAUGUCGUUUGCUGCAGAACGCUCUAUUCGAAAUAAAUGAGAUUGUAAAUCAAAAUAA